rnacentral:rRNA from 1 species
AUUGAACGCUGGCGGCAGGCCUAACACAUGCAAGUCGAACGAGUGGCGGACGGGUGAGUAAUGUCUGGGAAACUGCCUGAUGGAGGGGGAUAACUACUGGAAACGUUAGCUAAUACCGCAUACCAUCAGAUGUGCCCAGAUGGGAUUAGCUAGUUGGUGGGGUAAAGGCUCACCAAGGCGACGAGCCCUCGCUGGUCUGAGAGGAUGACCAGCCACACUGGGACUGAGACACGGUCCAGACGCCGAUGGGAGGAAGCAGUGGGGAAUAGUGCACAAUGGGCGCAAGCCUGAUGCAGCCAUGCCGCGUGUAUGAAGAAGGCCUUCGGAUUGGAAAGUACUUUCAGCGGGGAGGCGUUACCCGCAGAAGAAGCACCGGCUAACUCCGUGCCAGCAGCCGCGGUAAUAC